AAUCAACGCUGGCGGCGUGCCUCAGACAUGCAAGUCGAACGCGAAAGGCUCCUUCGGGGGCCGAGUAGAGUGGCGCACGGGUGAGUAACACGUAGGUAAUUUGCCUUUGGGUGGGGAAUAACUCAGGGAAACUUGAGCUAAUACCGCAUAAUGCAGCGGCUCGACAUCGAGACAGUUGUUAAAGCGGGGGAUCGCAAGACCUCGCGCCUGAAGAGAAGCCUGCGGCAGAUUAGCUAGUUGGUAGGGUAAUGGCCUACCAAGGCGACGAUCUGUAACCGGCCUGAGAGGGCGGUCGGUCACACUGACACUGACAUACGGGUCAGACUCCUACGGGAGGCAGCAGUCGGGAAUUUUGGGCAAUGGGCGCAAGCCUGACCCAGCAACGCCGUGUGAAGGAUGAAAUCCCUCGGGAUGUAAACUUCGCAAGAA
rnacentral:rRNA from 1 species